AGCUGAUAAAAAUACCCACAUCAGGGGAGCGCUUGCUUUUCUCCCCUCUGAGAAACACUUCAACUGGGAGAAAAAGCAAUAUGGUUUUAGGGCCGGCAAAUAAGCGAGCCAGCUCGUGUUCGACUCGUGUUCGGCUCGAUAUUCGGCUCGCUCGAGCUCAGCUCGAAUUAAUUUCAAGCAAGCUUGAGCCUAAAUUUAGGAUCGAAAUUAAUUUCAAGCCAAGCUUGAGUAUUACUCGGCUCGCUCGAAUUAAGCUUGAAAAGCUCGAAUAUAUAUAUAUAGAGUCCGGCUACUAUACUAUUAUGAGUACGAUCGCCCUCGUACUCAUAAGUUGUUUUCGAUGAUAGAGCUUCCGAAUCGACGAUCCACACCGUAAACGUUAUCUAGAGCAUUUGAAACAUCUAGAAAUCAAAUUUCAUAAUUUUUCGAUAUCAUUUACCAUACGAUCAAAAGCUCACAAAAUUGACAAUUUUUAACGGCCGGUAUAGAAUACUUGCUAGUUUAACAGUGCAAAAGAAUCCGAAUAGGUUGAAUUUUUGAUAGAAAAUUCUAUUCACUACCUAGAUAAAGAUCAAUAACUCUGAUCUUAAAUUNNNNNNNNNNNNNNNNNNNNNNNNNACAUAUGUAUAUGUAUAUAUAUAUAUAUAUAUAUAUAUAUGUAUAUAUAUAUAUAUAUAUAUAUAUAUAUAUAUAUAUACUAUUAUAUUAUUAAUAGUACCAACCACUUGCUAUUAGGUUUUCGGUCUUUGGAUGAAGGGAUGUGCGGUUAGAAUGAUAGUGAUCCCCUAGGGUUGAGUAGGUGGUUAGUUGAAUAAUUAAUGGCACAAAAUUCGAUAGUACCAAGCAUUUAGUAGCAUCAAUAAUAUAGUAGCCGAACUCUCUCUCUCUCUCUCUCUCUCUCUCUCUUAAUAUAUAUCGGCUACUAUGCUAUUAAGUAGCACGAACACUUGGUGCUACCAAAGUUUUCCGCCAGUUAGAUCUAUAUUUUGAUCAUUUACGCCGUUGAUUCACCUAUUGUAACGGCAACCACGACCAAACUCAACGCCUAGGGGGCCCCAUCAAUCCUAACGUCACAUCUCUAAUCCAAUGGCCAAAAACUUGGGUAGGUCACUCAAUGACUGGUCUAUUAAUAGCAUAGUAAGCCUAGUUCUAUAUUAUUAUAUUAAUGAUAAUACCUAAUAUAGAUCUUGCUAGUUUAACAGUGCAAAAGAAUCCGAAUAGGUUGAAUUUUUGAUAGAAAAUUCUAUUCACUACCUAGAUAAAGAUCAAUAACUCUGAUCUUAAAUUAAAGGAUCCGAUCAUCCAUUUUUAAGACAUCGUUCGAUUUUCACUGUUCAUUUUAUACCCGCUUGAUGGACUUUCUUAUAAUUUCGAAAAAUUAUGAAAUUUAUUUUCUAGAAGUUUCAAAUACUUUAGAUCAUAUUUAACGGAGUGGAUCGUCGAUUCGGAAGUUCCAUCAUAAAAAACAACUUAUGAGUACGAAUGGUCCAAUACUCAUAAUAGUAUAGCAGCCCUACUCUCUCUCUCUCUCUAUAUAUAUAUAUAGAAUUAGCUACUAUACUAUCUAUAGUAUCGGAGCUCCGGUACUAUAGUCUUGUUUUCGAUCUUAGAGUGUUCAAAUUAACGAUCCACACCGUUAAAUAUGAUCUAGGGUAUAUGAAGACCCUAAGAUCAUAUACCCUAGAUAAAAAACGAGACUAUAGUACCGUAGCCCCGGUACUAUAGAUAGU
rnacentral:lncRNA from 1 species